rnacentral:rRNA from 1 species
AUUGAACGCUGGCGGCAGGCCUAACACAUGAAAGUCGAGCGAGCGGCGGACGGGUGAGUAAUGUAUGGGGAUCUGCCCGAUGGAGGGGGCUAACUACUGGAAACGGUAGCUAAUACCGCAUACCAUCAGAUGUACCCAGAUGGGAUUAGCUAGUAGGUGCGGUAACGGCUCACCUAGGCGACGAUCCCUAGCUGGUCUGCGAGGAUGAUCAGCAACACUGGAACUGAGACACGGCCCAGACUCCUACGGGAGGCAGCAGUGGGGAAUAUUGCACAAUGGGCGCAAGCCUGAUGCAGCCAUGCCGCGUGUAUGAAGAAGGCCUUCGGGUUGUAAAGUACUUUCAGUCGGGAGGCGUUACCGACAGAAGAAGCACCGGCUAACUCCGUGCCAGCCGCCGCGGUAAUAC